UUUCACACCCACUAGGGUGGUUAUAAUAAAAAAUCUUUAAUGAAAUAUAAGUGUUGGUGAAGAUGUGGAGAAAUGAGAUCCCUCACACAUUGCUAGUGGGAAUGUAAAAGGGUACAGCUGCCGUGGAAGUUUGGCAGUUCCACCUUAAGCUAAACACAGAAGCACGACAGGACCCUGAAAUUCCACUCUUAGUAUAGACUAAAACAAAUUAAAUACACUUGUUCAGACAAAAGCUUGCACAAGAAUGUUCACAGCAGCACUAUUCACAACCCCAACAGUGGAAACAACCCCUAUGUCCACCACUGAUGAAUGGAUAAACAAAAUGUGGGUAUAUCCAUACAAUGGAAUAUUAUUCAGUCUCAUAAAAAGAAACAAAAUACCGACACAUGCUACAACAUGGAUGAACCUUGAAAACAUUAUGCUGAGUAGAAGAAGCCAGACACAAAAGGCCAUAUAGUGUACAAUCCCAUUUAUAGGAAAUGUUCAGAAUGGGGAGAUUUUUAGAGACAGAAUGCAGAUUGCUGGCUGCCAGGGGCUGGGAGUCAGGGACUGAGGAGCGGUGUGGAACUGGGGGGUGGUGACAGUCAAGAAGCAUUUUCUUUUUUUUUCUUUUCUUUUCUUUUUUUUUUUGAGAUAGGGUCUCACUCUGUCACCCAGGUUGGAGUACAGUGGCAUGAUCUCCGCUCACCACAGCCUCAACCUCCUGAGCUCAAGCAGUCCUCCCACCUCAGCCUCCCAAGUAGCUAACUACAUGGGCACACCAUCACAAGAACUCAUUUUUGUAUUUUUUUUUUGUAGAUACAGGGUCUCCCCAUGUUGCCCAGGCUGGUUUUGAACUCCUGGGCUCAAGCAAUCCACCCGCCUCAGCCUCCCAAAGUGUUGGGAUUACAGGCAUGAGCCACCGUGCCCAGCCUGCACAGCAUUUUCAAUGUACUAAAUGCUGCUAAAUUAUACACUUUUUAAGGCCAGGUGCAGGGCUCACGCCUGUAAUCCCAGAACUUUGGGAGGCCAAGGUGGGCGGAUUGCCUGAGCUCAGGAGUUUGUGACCAGCCUGGGCAACAUGGUGAGACCCCAUCUCUACUAAAAACACAAAAAAUUAGGCAGGCGUGUUGGCACACACCUGUAAUCCCAGCUACUUGCGAGGCUGAGACAGGAGAAUCACUUGAACACAGGAGGCAGAGGUUGCAGUGAGCCGAGAUUGCACCACUACACUGCAGCCUGGGUGACAGAGUGAGACUGUCUCCUAAAUAAAUAAAACAUUUUAAAAUGGUUAAAAUGGCAACUUUUAUGUGUACUCUGCCAGAAUUCUCUUAAGUUAAAAAAAAAUGUGAGUUUUGAACCUCCCCUCCAAGGGCCUGGGAGCUGCCAACACAGAGUCAGCCACAGUGUUUCCAGAUGGACAGAACGAAUCAAAAAGAUGUCUGCCAGACACUAUGCCAACAGGAAGAUGGGACUCAAGUUGUUUUUAAAAUUUUUUGUGCCUUGGCCUGCUGGAGAAAUAAAAGCUCUGAACUUGAGUUCACAUAGGCCUGAAUGUAAAUGCUGGUUCCAACACUGGCUGUGUGACCUUGGGCAAAUCACUGAGUCUUUCUGGGCCUCAGUUUUCUCAUCUGUAAAAUGGAGAUAAGCAGCAGCUCUUUGUUAACUCAUGAAAAAGCCCUAAGUGUAGUGCAGGAACACAGUAAGGACCAGCAAGGGUUGGUUUCUUUCCUCCCUCUCCUUUCCCCACACAUGUCCUUGACAUUUAUCCCAGCCAGAUUUCACCUGUACAGACACCCUCCCGGGAGGUUGUACACAGAGCAACACUUGUCGAGGUUCUCUGAUGGACCCUGCCCAUGGGAUGUUUACACUUUCAAAGAGAAAACGAGUUAAUCCACAGGAAGCCUAAGUGAUAGAGGGGACUGAAGAAUUUCUAAACUAAUCCAGGAAAUAUUCUGGACUAAUCCAGGAAAUAUUCAGGCCCUUUCCCUCCAAUCAUGCCACCAGGCCAGCAACCUGCUUCAACACUAUCUCCCUUCACACGCACACGCUCUCCAAACUCCUUACCCAACAAUUCCCAGGAGCUGGUUUCUGACCUUGUUCUCCCCUGUCCAUAGCUCAAAAUGUCAGCAUAAGAAUGCUGUUCGGCCUUUCUAGGGAAGAACUAUUCUUGUUUUCAAUUUUUGGUAUUAAAAUAUUCAUUUUUUAGGAUACAAUAGUAGGAAACUAAUUUUUUACCUAUCCUGUGUCCUUACUUGACAAAAUAAGAUGCCACGAACCUUUAUGCCAGUUCCCAAAAUGACUUUUUGAAUUUUUAUUGAUAAAUCCUCAAAUCUGAGAGCACAACACUGUGCUCCCUAACCCUAAUCUCCCUCUCCCAGCAGGGAGUGAAUCCUGCUUCAUUUGCUCAGUGAGCACAAGGAAGGCACGGGCCCUGGGGUCCAUCCCUGCCAGGCCACUCCUUCCAGCCCUCUCUGUCAUUCCCACAGCAGCAGACAGGCAACAGCAUUCCCUCUUCCCAGCAUCGCUGAUGCCAGGCUGGGUACCACAACCUCUGCAUACCAACGGACUGGUCCCUACAUCCUGAUGCCAGAGGAGGUGGGUAACAUUGAGCCAUCACACUCACUCAAUUACCAGACCCCUGGGUCAGCUUAAGAAGGGAUGGAGUCCGGGCGCAGUGGCUCACACCUAUAACCCCAGCACUUUGGGAGGCCAAGGAGGGUGGGUCACCUGAGAUCAGGAGUUCAAGACCAGCCUGACCAACACGGAGAAACCCCGUCUCUACUAAAAUUACAAAAAAUUAGCCAGCCAUGGUGGCGCAUGCCUGUAAUCCCAGCUACUCGGGAGGCCGAGGCAGGAGAAUCACUUGAACCCAGGAGGCAGAGGUUGUGGUGAGCCGAGAUCAUGCCACUGCACUCCAACCUGGGCAACAAGAGCAAAACUCCAUCUCAAAAAAAAAAAAAAAAAAAAAAAGAAGGGAUGGUCUGUGUUCAGAGAGCAAUUUUCCUCUGAACCAAAUGAAGCUUCAUCAGACUGUGUGGACCCCACUCCGCCUGAACAAGUCACAGCCCAAUCUCCCCACUGAGAGGGGCCUAUGAGCAUCGCUGUGUCCUCUUGACCUUCUGUAAGUCUCUCGGGUUUGACCAGACCAUUCUAGGUAUUGUCCUACCACGCAGGGUAAUGCAAAGGGCGUGGCCAAGGUCCCUAAUGCUACAGCCAGUAAUAUACCCCAAACUCUCCACUCAAAAUCCUGUCCUGGGCUGGAAAGCAAAGUAAGUGGCAGAAACAUGAGGCCACCCCUGGACAUUCCCACUCUGGGAGAUAUCAGGCUCAGCUCCACAUGUAACCUGCAGCAUGUGUUAGAAACCAUCAGGAGAUCACCAAGGGCUGCUAAGGGAAAAGGUUGGGGAAGACAAUGACAGGCAGGCAGGCAGCAAAUACAGGCUAAGGGUUCACUAUGGACCAGGCAUACUGCUCAGGGUCAAGAAAGCAAAAAUGAGGAGGACAUGAUGCCCUGCCCUGAAGGGGCUCACAGAUGAGCAGGUGUGGCUUGGAGGAAGAGGAGAGGCCAGGACUAACACGUAUCAAGUCUGUUCAUCUUCUGAGUUCCCAGAGAAAAGAGCCCCACACUCACGGAGCUGACAAGCAAGCCAGAAAGUAGGGAAAUUUCAGGUUGGGAUAAGCCCUAGAAGAAAAUAAACAGAAAGUAAGAUGAAGCAAAACCAGGCGGGGGAUUUAGAGAAGGUGGUUGCAGAGGGCCUCUCUGAGGAGGUGACAUUGGAAAUGAGGUGGAGAAUGGAAUGAGAAGGAAACAUUCCAGGUAGAGAAGGGCAGGUGCAAAGGCAGGGACGCAAGAAAGGACUGAGAAUGUUCAAGGAGGGGCAGGGACGUUGAUGUGGGUGAGAUGUGGAGAGCAACAGGAGACAGGAGGCAGGCAAGGCUUUGCAGGCCUGGUGAGGAAUCCGGGUUAAAUAUGAGCAUUAUCCCCAUUUAGUAGAUGAGAAAACCAAAGCUCAGAGGUUAAGUAACUUGCCCAGGGUCGCAUAGCUGGUGAGUAGCCAAGCUGAGAUUCCAUCAUAUAGUCUGGUAACAAAGUCCAUGUUUUCUUUCCUCUACUCACUGAACAGGAACUGGCUGGCUGUGACAAAAUGUGAUAACUGUUAAGUGAUUAAUGACAAGUGGUUUAUGACAGAAGCCUGGGGUGGGGGGACACAGUUUGCCGGGGAAGUCUUCAUGGAGGAACUAACUGGGUCCCUAAGAAUGAGGAGGAUUUUGCCAGGUGGAAAAGUGGGGAGGACGAGCGCUCAAAACAAGGAGAAUAACUUGAGCAAGGCCAGGGAUGUGGAACAUGAGGCCUGGUGGGAGCUGAGAGGCAAUGGAGUUGCUGAGAGUAGAACUGGCGGGAGAUGGGCGUGGAAGGCAGGGUGGGCCAGACCAGAAGGGACCCUGAAUGCCUACCAAGGAUGUCUACAUUGAAUUUCUGGGCAACGAGGAGCCAAGGCAGGUUCUUCAACAGGCUGAGCUGUACUGUGCUUUAGAAAGAUGACUGUGAUGCAGGGGCCUGGAGAGGCUGGUGUGUGGGGAGGGGCAGCUAAAAUAAAUGGCCAGAGGCUGUAGAGAGAGGUGGGGCAGGACAGGGCCCGUCAAGCCCCAGAGGUAACCAAGACUGAGAAGGAGUUUCACUCUUGUUGCCCAGGCUGGAGUGCAAUGGUGCGAUCUUGGCUCACUGCAACCUCUGCCUCCCGAGUUCAAGCGAUUUUCCUGCCUCAGCCUCCUGAGUAGCUGAAACUACAGGCGUGUGCCACCACACCCAGCUAAUUUUUGUAUUUUUAGUAGAGACAGGUUUUCACCAUGUUGGCCAGCUGGUCUCGAACUCCUGAUCUCAGGUGACCCACCCUCCUUAGCCUCCCAAAGUGCUAGGAUUACAGGAAUGAGCUACCACACCCGGCCAAGAAAGUAUUUUUACAGACCCCAAGAAUGGGGUGUCCAGCUGGGCGUGGUGGCUCAUGCCUGUAAAAUCCCAGUACUUUGGGAGGCCAAGGUUGGCGGAUCACCUGAGGUCAGGAGUUCGAGACCAGCCUGGCCAGCAUGGUGAAACCCUGUCUCUACUAAAAAUACAAAAAAUUAGCUGGGCGUGGUGGGAGGAGCCCGUAAUCCCAGCUACUUGGGAGGCUGAGGCAGGAGAAUCGCUUGAACCCGAGAUGGCGCCAUUGCACUCCAAUCUGGGUGACGAGAGCGAAACUCCGUCUCAAAAAACAAAAAAAGAAUGCAGUGUCCCCAGCCCCAGGCCCCGCCCUGCUUCACCCCACCUCCCUCCACAGUUUGGCCUGGGUCCAUGGCUGGAGUCCCUUCCUAGCCUAUAGCCCCAGGCCCUGCUGCAGUGACCCCCAUCAGCCCAGGGCAUUCUGUUCAUGCCCCAUGACUCUCAUGAAGGAUGAGAGCAGGGUGCUGGCUUUACAGGAGUUGGGUGAACCUCAGAUACUGAGAGUGGACAACACUUACACAGCCCUGACCCGGAAAGGGGACCUGUUUUAAGUGCCUUAUUUUGACUCACUUCAACCCUACAAGGUACGUACUAUUACAUUCCAAGGAGGGGAAACUGAUGCACAGGGGACUUGCCCAAGGGAUGUGAACCCUGGCAGUCUGGUGCCAGGGUCUGUCCUCCGUACUCCACCUCAAGGUAGUCAUUGCUCUCUCUAGACUCUGAGUGUCUCUACCUGCUCUCCUCUCUCCUCUUUGCUUUCACAAUGAUCCUGCCAGAUGCUCUCUUUCCUGCCAGAAGGGAGGGCUACAUGUGAAAAUCUGGCAUCAGAGUCUCAGCCACUCCCUUCUCAGGAACCACCUGCCUGCCUGCCAUAGCAGGCGGUGAAGAGCCAGCCCUGACAUCAGACAGCUCCUGGAGGCAGGCAGGCCUGUCUGAACCCUCCUCCCUGCUGCAACAGAAAUGGCUACCAGCCCCACUGGCCAGGCCUACAGCAGGCUGUGCCUGGCCCCCACUUGACAGGCAGCACUCACCUCUCACCUCUGCUCUGGGGGCCCAGCUGAGGCAGCACCUGCCCAGGAUGUCAUGGUGCCAUAGUUGCACCAGCUCCAGGACCAGGGCAGCUGAACGCCCCUUUGCCCACUAGAUGGCACAAUGUGCACAGAAAUGUGGGUUGACCGCUUGGCCACCCUUUCCACCUGCAGAGGAACUGGAUUUCACCACACUCUGCAUUUAUCUCAUUUUUAUUCUCAUUCCUCAUCCUAACCCAUAGCCAACCAUUUGUAUGUGUCCUUGCAAAACAAGUGCAUGUAUUUUUUAGUUUCACAAUUAGUAAUAUAUAUAUAUAUAUAUAUAUAUAUAUAU
rnacentral:lncRNA from 1 species